rnacentral:rRNA from 1 species
UACGUAGGAGGCAAGCGUUGUCCGGAAUACUGGGCGUAAAGCGCGUGUAGGUGGUGGGACAAGUCUGCUGUGAAAGCGCCUGGCUUAACCGGGCGAGGUCGGCGGAAACUGUCCGACUCGAGGACGGUAGAGGGGGGGUGGAAUUCCCCGGUGUAGUGGUGAAAUGCGUAGAGAUCGGGAGGAACACCUGUGGCGAAGGCGGCCCCCCUGGGCCGGCCCUGACACUGAGACGCGAAGGCGUGGGGAGCGAACGGG